UGCUCCUAAUAACACCCUGGAACUACUAUUGUCACCGACAAUGUAACUUCAGAUGGGCUUACAACAUUCAUUGAGAAAAAAAACUAGAUACGUGGACUAAUUUAGAUUUGAUGAUGUGCUAAGAGUUUCCAAAUACUUACAUGGGGAAAACACUAUCGGUUCAAACGAGGGUAUAAAAAUGUCAUUGAUGAAGCUAUUCACCUGAACUCUGUUGGUGAGGAGUUACAUUUGGCUAUUGAGACCAUUGGCCAUGGAGCACUUAAGGAGAAUCAUUGGCUUAAUGUUGGUGCAUAUCUCAAGGUCAACCUAGCGGAAUUAACAUUUUGACCGAUUUGGUAGAUGAAUUGCAGGAAUCGGGUGUUGUUGUUGAGCUUAGAUUACCAAUAGAUCAAAAUCAUUCGGAUCUUAAAGGAGGAUCUUUUUGUGAAUAUGGUGAAGCAGUGUUGAAACAUUUGGAAAAUAAAAGUGAAUCGGAUCCUACACUUCAAAAAACUCGUGUUAACUAUGAAGGGAUUCGGGUUUCCGGCUAUGGUGGUUGGUUUCUUCUGAGACUUUUUCGUAACCCUGUUUUGCCCCUUAACAUUGGGGUAAAUUACAAGUCAUGAAAUCAGUUAUCCACAAUACUAAAAAAUCUAAAUAAACAUAUUAAAUUUUUUUAGGCCCUAAGUAAUGAGGAUGUGUUAAAACUUGGAUUAGAGGGAUUUCGGUUGCAAAUGAGUUCUCAGCUUUGGAUGUUUCGGCAUUGGUGAAAUUUGUACAACAAUACUGAAGGUUGACUUUUCUUUAUUUUCUUUUUUUUUACAAAAGAACUAUUUUCGACGAUUUUUUGUAAAAAGGAGUCAUUUGUUGUUUGUGUUUUGAAAGCUAUAUAUCGAUAAUGUGAUAAUAUUUAACAAACUCAUAUAUCAUAAAUCUUGGGAUGUCAAAGUGGAAUGUAUUCAAUAUGUAUAACUUCCAUCGUAUUAACAAGUAUGCCAAAAUAGGUGGGUUGGGUACUGGUUCGAAAAAGGUUCGGGUCAAGGAUUGUGUGCUUGGCAUACAUGACUUGCAGUUGAGCCAAACAUUAUGGUCUUCUUAAUCAAUUUCUUAAAUGGGUUAAUGAAUAAAUAACUUUUUCAUUAAUUAAACUAAAAAAUGAUAGCUAAUUCUAUUACUUAUUGCAUGCGUUGAUCUUGAUUUUUGCUAAAGGUACAAAGGAAAUAGAAAGGGACUUUUAACGCAAGAUAAUUAAAGUUAGAGAUUCAACAAACAAAGGUAUGU